rnacentral:rRNA from 1 species
AACGAACGCUGGCGGCAUGCCUAACACAUGCAAGUCGAACGAGACCUUCGGGUCUUGUGGCGCACGGGUGCGUCACGCGUGGGAACCUUCCCUUAGGUUCGGACUAACUCCCCGAAAGGGGUGCUAAUACCGGAUAAUGUCUUCGGACCAAGGAUUUAUCGCCUUUGGAUGGGCCCGCGUUGGAUUAGCUAGUUGGUAGGGUAAAAGCCUACCAAGGCGACGUUCCAUAGCUGGUCUGAGAGGAUGAGCAGCCACACUGGGACUGAGACACGGCCCAGACUCCUACGGGAGGCAGCAGUGGGGAAUAUUGGACAAUGGGCGAAAGCCUGAUCCAGCAAUGCCGCGUGAGUGAUGAAGGCCUUAGGGUUGUAAAGCUCUUUUACCCGGGAUGAUAAUGACAGUACCGGGAGAAUAAGCUCCGGCUAACUCCGUG